GAAACCAGAGUUGAGGGGUGGGAAACAAGAGGGGUCAGAGCUUUCCAGACAGAGGAAAUGGACUAUAGAAAGAUAUGUGUGUAGGCACAACGGCAUUGGAGAAUGGGACCAGCAAAUUAGCUUGACAAAAACAGAGGGGUCCCAUCAAGAAAUAAUAAAAGAUGAAGAUUAAGAGUACCCCUAUUGGUGAAAACGUUUGGAUAGCAAAAGGAGCUUGGGUUUUAUUUGACAGACAUUGGGGAGCCCAUAAACGUCUAUGCAAAUACAAAUUAGAGGCGAAAACAAAGUUUGAUGGCUCUUGUGGGAGCUCUGUGUGGAAUGAACUGCAGCUGUGUGGACCAUCUGCCUCCCCCAUGUCUGAGACUUACAGUACCCACAUAAAUCCAGAAAGCAUACCUGGUAUCAAGCUGCGUGAGAGGAAUA
rnacentral:lncRNA from 1 species